rnacentral:rRNA from 1 species
UACGGAGGGUGCAAGCGUUACUCGGAAUCACUGGGCGUAAAGAGCGUGUAGGCGGUUUAGUAAGUCUGAUGUGAAAGCCCCCGACUCAAUCGGGGAAGUGCAUUGGAUACUGCUUGACUAGAGUACAGGAGGGGAAAGCGGAAUUCCUGGUGGAGAGGUGAAAUUCGUAGAUAUCAGGAGGAACAACGGUGGCGAAGGCGGCUUUCUGGACUGUAACUGACGCUGAGACGCGAAAGCGUGGGUAGCAAACAGG